GCAGCCGCCGCGGUAAUACGUAGGGCGCAAGCGUUGUCCGGAAUUAUUGGGCGUAAAGAGCUCGUAGGCGGUCUGUCGCGUCUGGUGUGAAAUCCCGAGGCUCAACCUCGGGCUUGCAUCGGGUACGGGCAGACUAGAGUGCGGUAGGGGAGACUGGAAUUCCUGGUGUAGCGGUGGAAUGCGCAGAUAUCAGGAGGAACACCGAUGGCGAAGGCAGGUCUCUGGGCCGCAACUGACGCUGAGGAGCGAAAGCAUGGGGAGCGAACAGGAUUAGAUACCCGGGUAGUCCCUGUCUCUUAUAC
rnacentral:rRNA from 1 species